GGAGGAGUGGCCGAGUGGUUGAAGGCGCACGUCUCGAAAACGUGUAUACCGCAAGGUAUCGGGGGUUCGAAUCCUCCCUCCUCCG
rnacentral:tRNA from 4 species